rnacentral:lncRNA from 1 species
UACAACCAACCAAUACAAGAUUAUUGAUGGAUGGUAAACAUCAUAGAUUUAAAAGUCUUCUCAAAAUCUACAUCUGUUGACCUCCACCUAGUAACGGUGUAGGUGAGCUGUAAAACCGCUCUUCCGAUAUCCCCUUCAACUCAACGACUUGCUCUUUAGUUCCUUGCAUACCACCUCUUAAGUCAUUUUCCAUACGGCCCAUCUAACCUGUAUGUGACGGAACACUGGCUUUAUUUCGAUUGUGCCUUACGACCAAAACACCCGCUAUAACCAAAAUGAAAACCGAAGGGAUAGUAACCCCAAGUAUUAUCGGCAUUUUAUUGUUACCACUCCCUUUGCAUGACUUACCAUCGGUACACAAAACAGGGUUUCCCGUAUAUCUGUUAAAUAAUUGAGAAAAAAAAUAUAUAAGUUAAAUCAUAAAACUAAAAAGUAUAAGUAAAUAAGAAAAUGGAUUAACUUACGAUAAAUUUAAGUUGGAUUUUUUUGAUAACGAUCUUGGUAUGGAUCCAGUGAAUUGAUUAUCACCCAAAUUUCUACAUGAUUAUAUUUUAUUACAUAAAAUUAAAAGAUUCCUCAUCAAAUAAAAAUACAAUUAAACCAAAACUCACAGUUGUUUCAGAUUUGGCAAGGUGCCAAGGAAUUUAGGAAUUGGUCCGGUCAAGCUAUUAUUAUGCAAAUCUCUGCAAAAUUAGUAUAAAUUAUUAAAAUAUUAGAUUAUAUUAAAUAUAUAAAUAUAUAUAAAAAAACAAGAAAUGUAUUAAUUUGAUGAAAUUCUAAAUGUACAUUGUCUUAAGAGCAUCCAUUUUACUAAAGUCUGGAAGUGGCCCGUUGAGGUUAAAACUGCUAAGAUUUCUUGAUGUUACGCGAGGUAUAUAGUCGUUGCUGCAUUCUAUCCAUUCCCAUGAAUAUGGGGCGGGCAGACAAGGGUCCCCGCCCCAUUCUUGUAAAACGCUAAAUGCGUUUUGAAGGGAAGCUAAACCUUCCACUACAUUAAUCAAACAAAUAUAUUAAAGCAUAAUAAGA